GUCCUCGUUAGUAUAGUGGUGAGUAUCCCCGCCUGUCACGCGGGAGACCGGGGUUCAAUUCCCCGACGGGGAGGUGUGAUUUUGAGUUAGUGCUUCAGACAGCUACUUAACUUCAAAGUGGCAUUUGACAAAAUACAAAUAGAAAA